ACACGACCUGUCUGUGCUGCCCUAAACACACACAAACACACAAACAAAAAGCCGGGACCACCUCCCCUGGCCGCCAGCCUCACUGCAGUCUCUGCUCUGAUUGGUCAAAGCAAACAGAGGGGUGGGCUUUGAAUGCCCAUAGGUUUAGAGCCUGAGGGCUUUUAUGCAAUACGGGGAAAAAAAAGAGUUAGAGUUACAUCAUAUAGUUCUAUAUAGUUCAGUGUGCUGCAGUGUCAGAGUGAAGGCUGCAGCGUGUCCUGAAGCAGAGGCCACAGACGCAGCUCAGCAGCUCCUACUGGUCAUGAAUGAAGAGCCGCCACUCUGCAGACAGCAGAGCAGGAAGAGACUGACUUCAUCUACCUUCACACGGCUGUUCUGCUCUCCUGCUUUGACAUUUGCUAAUUUCUGCUCCCUGGGCUUUGACUAGGCCAAAGGUCUCCAUCUCCAGUUCUCGAGGGUUACUGCCCUGCAACCUUCAUAGUGAAGCCCUACCCAUUUGAUGACGGGUCCAUUGACCCCUGAGUGUCGCUGUUCUCUGGCAGCUGUAACCUGAAACACAGGAACAAAAUUGAAGGUGUUCAGAGAAAAGCAGCAACUCUCAAGGGAUAAAACCAGCUGAAAGCACAGCUAUUGUUUGAGAAACACAAGCGUGAGAGCCACAGAAACACAGACAGGGAUAGAUGCGGACACUCCCAUAUUGCAAAGGUAUUCACAACAAUCUAAGGAGACCUUUUUAGAUAAUAUUUACUUGACAUUUUUGGGUGAAAAUGGCCUGAUGUUUAGUUUAUUAGUUUAGUUUUGAUCCUCUGUAAGUUUCACUAACAUAUUUCAGAAGAAUCAGAAGAAACUUACUUGAAGUCGGUGAUGAUGGGGUCCAGCUCUGGACCACUUAAAAUGGACAACCUGGAAUCAGAAAAAAGGAUCAGCCGCAUUGCCUCCGGAGCAUCAUCAUUACGGGGUUGCUUUUGAGAAGCAGCGUUUUAAUUUAGCAGUUCCACUCCUCAUUGUGACUGGAUGAAACAAAAAGAAAUGAAUGAAUGCGAACAUACCGGCUCGGUGAGUCUGGGCUGUCGGGGAUAUCUUGUGCCUGUUCAGCGACUCUGUGAAGACAACACAGAAAAUGCAAGACAUGAAUUCCUGAUGGAGCGAGGAGGAGGCGAGGGAGGAGAUCUCAGGAAUAAGGAUUUACAAGAUUGUUGGAGAUAAAUCAAAUGCUUACAAGGAAAGCCUCCUGGAAGACAACAAACCUUAAACAUAAUGGUUUUAACAAAAUGAAACAUUCAGAAAAAGGGCAGCCACACAAAUAUGGAAACCUGUCUUGUUUUAUAAAUCAACAAAUAUGCCUGCAAAGGCUGCAGUGUUUUCACACAAAGUAUAACAUGCAAACUGCCAAUAAUAUCACGAAAUUAGCAAAAUAUGAAAUGACUAUGCUAUUGCUGGAAAUUUCAAUAUCAAUAUCAGGUUUUAUCGCCUCUAUCUUUCUAAUAAUCUUCAGUUUUUUAUCAUUAAACGAUCUGAGCACCACUCCGAGAUUUAACAUCUGAGACGCUAAAGAAAUAGAUCAGGUGGGGCAUUAAGGGCAAUUACUGUCAAUCCAACAGUAAAAACGUAUUAUCAAUAUGCACAGCGAUUCUCUGACACUUUAAAUGUAACAUCCAACUCAUAGUGGCUAUGAGUAGUCUUAUUGCACAAUCUGACUCUGCAAUUCAAUAUAUUCAAUUUAUCGUGCAGAUCACCAACCAACCCAAGGUGCUGCACUUUGAAAAGGAUCACAGGUUAAACUUAAAGAAUGAUUUGCUGAGAAGACAUUAGUCCAACAAACAUAAGAAG